rnacentral:rRNA from 1 species
UACGUAGGGUGCAAGCGUUUGUCCGGAAUUAUUGGGCGUAAAGAGCUCGUAGGCGGUCUGUCGCGUCUGCUGUGAAACUCAGGGCUUAACCCUGAGCUUGCAGUGGGUACGGGCAGACUAGAGUGCGGUAGGGGAGACUGGAAUUCCUGGUGUAGCGGUGAAAUGCGCAGAUAUCAGGAGGAACACCGGUGGCGAAGGCGGGUCUCUGGGCCGUAACUGACGCUGAGGAGCGAAAGCAUGGGGAGCGAACAGG